GCACUUUCAAACAGUGCCGAGCCUGGAAACUCGAACGAUAUAUCAGUGGCGUAUAGUAACACGCCUAUUAAUGCGUGUUUUUU
rnacentral:sRNA from 1 species